AUUGAACGCUGGCGGCAGGCCUAACACAUGCAAGUCGAGCGAGCGGCGGGCGGGUGAGUAAUGUAUGGGGACUGCCCGAUAGAGGGGGAUAACGACUGGAAACGGUGGCUAAUACCGCAUACUAUCGGAUAACCCAUAUGGGAUUAGCUAGUAGGUGGGGUAAAGGCUCACCAAGGCGACGAUCUCUAGCUGGUCUGAGAGGAUGAUCGGCCACACUGGGACUGAGACACGGCCCAGACUCCUACGGAGGCAGCAGUGGGGAAUAUUGGGCAAUGGGCGCAAGCCUGACCCAGCCAUGCCGCGUGUAUGAAGAAGGCCUUAGGGUUGUAAAGUCCUUUCAGCGGGGAGGCGUUACCCGAAGAAGAAGCAACGGCUAACUCCGUGCCAGCAGCCGCGGUAAUUC
rnacentral:rRNA from 1 species